UACGUAGGGGACUAGCGUUGUUCGGAUUCCUUGGGCGUAAAGGGUGCGUAGGUGGUGCUGUAAGUCAGGUGUGAAAUCUCGGGGCUCAACCCCGAAACUGCACUUGAUACUGCAGUGCUCGAGGACUGGAGAGGAGAUUGGAAUUCAUGGUGUAGCAGUGAAAUGCGUAGAUAUCAUGAGGAAGACCAGUGGCGAAGGCGGAUCUCUGGACAGUUCCUGACACUGAGGCACGAAGGCCAGGGGAGCAAACGGG
rnacentral:rRNA from 1 species